rnacentral:rRNA from 1 species
UGGGGAAUAUUGCACAAUGGGCGAAAGCCUGAUGCAGCAACGCCGCGUGAGGGACGACGGCCUUCGGGUUGUAAACCUCUUUAGCUAAGGAAGAAGCGAAAGUGGACGGUACUUGCAGAAAAACGCGACCGGCUAACUACGUGCCAGCAGCCGCGGCUAAUACAGUAGGGCGCAAGCGUUAUCCGGAAUUAUUGGGGCGUAAAGAGCUCGUAGGCGGUUUUGNCGCGUCUGCUGUGAAAACCCGAGGCUCAACCUCGGGCCUGCAGUGGGUACGGGCAGACUAGAGUGCGGUAGGGGAGAUUGGAACUCCUGGUGUAGCGGUGGAAUGCGCAGAUAUCAGGAAGAACACCGAUGGCGAAGGCAGAUCUCUGGGCCGUAACUGACGCUGAGGAGCGAAAGGGUGGGGAGCAAACAGGCUUAGAUACCCUGGUAGUCCACCCCGUAAACGUUGGGAACUAGUUGUGGGGUCCAUUCCACGGAUUCCGUGACGCAGCUAACGCAUUAAGUUCCCCGCCUGGGGGAGUACGGCCGCAAGGCUAAAACUCAAAUGAAUUGACGGGGUCAUAGCUGUUUCCU